rnacentral:piRNA from 1 species
UGCCAAGUCCAAAGGUCAGCUUCCUUGUA